AUAAUACUACCUCCACCCGAAAUUACUUGUUGGAGAAAUAGAUGUAUCUAGAUGUAUUUUAGUUUAUAAAUACAUUCAGUUUUAUCAGUUUCUGUGACAAGUAAUUUCAGACGGAGGGAGUAGUGA
rnacentral:pre_miRNA from 1 species